rnacentral:lncRNA from 1 species
GCAGCGUCUGCACAAGGAAGCAUCACUGGAUACCCCGCUCACAUGCGAUGAUGUUAGCAGUAUGCAGCUAUUUUACAGACAUCAUCUUUUGCUAGUUGCUACUGUACAAUGGAAUGAGCAUCAGCCACCGAUGCAGGCUAAGGUUGCUGAACAGUUGCAGCAUCAUAAACGGGUAGUGUGGCCGUAGUCAAUCAAGAUAAUUGUUCUGGAAAUAUGACGAAACCUGAUACUACUACGUACUAGCACCAUUAUAGAUUAGAGCUAUACAGUUCUAUGAAGUGUGAAGAGAUGUAGAAGCAGGGAUCUACGGUGAGGUGGGAAAAAAGGUCAUGAGCAACGAAAGACGAAUCACUUUGAAUUUCAUGGUCUGAGAAGUUCAUGUCGUUUGAAGUUUUCCCCAGGAUUUAGGUUUAGCCAGAUCAUAAUUCCACUCAUACCUUCAUGUCAUUUGAUCAUUUUUUGCAAUCUUUAUGGGUAACUUAAAAAACAACCAUGCCCAACCAUAUCGCUCUUGUAGGAGGGAGAUAUAUUCAGUGCAACUAUAUGCAACUCGAUCAUAUUCAUAUGCAUGGUCCACCACAGGAAAACAAUCUAUAGUUUCUUUUAUUAAUCCUCUAGGAUGACACAGGAGAGUAGUCAGCUAGCUAAAUUGUUAUCAUACCGCUAGCUUGUUCUUUGAUAGGAAGCAUAUAAGAAAUGGGAAAUGAGACCCGAUCAUUUUGCAUGACCCUACAUCCAUAGUUUAUCUCAAGAUGACUCCAAUUGUUGAUAAAAUGGACGUAUCUGCCUGUUCCCGUACUCCACACAGGAAAGUGUGACGGUAUACCGUGCUGAGCGACUAAUUAUUAAUUGAGCCCGACUAGAAGUCAUUUGUCUGUUUGGCAGCAGCAUAGAAAAGGGCCAUUUGGCCGUGCACGACCCAUGUUAGGUGCCUACUUUCUCCGGACCCAGGGAAAGAUUCCUGCAGCAGCAGGCCGCUUCUCUCUGUUUUUUUUUAAUGAUCUCAUGACUGACUGCCGAUCCCUUGCCAAGCCACAUUGAUCCUCCCAAGAGCAUAUCCAAGACACUACUCAUUUUUUACUUUAUUUGAGUUGGCAAAAAGAUUUCUCUUCAUAUUAAGUUGUUCAUCCAUUUCCUAUUCUAAAAAUCCCAACGGUUAGGUUCCUCUAUAAAAAUAUACACUCUCCAUCCACUCCAACAACCUCUUCAUUUCGUACUAUAACAGUCUCUCCAUUUUACACUCUCC